CCGGCGCACGGGUGAGUAACGCGUAUGCGACCUGCCCGUUGCAGGGGGAUAAUCGGGAGAAAUCCCGUCUAAUACCGCGUAACGCCGCGGGGCUGCAUGGCCCUGCGGCCAAAGGGAGCGAUUCCGGCAACGGAUGGGCAUGCGUGACAUUAGCUAGUUGGCGGGGCGAACGGCCCACCAAGGCGACGAUGUCUAGGGGUUCUGAGAGGAAGGUCCCCCACAUUGGUACUGAGACACGGACCAGACUCCUACGGAAGGCAGCAG
rnacentral:rRNA from 1 species